CACAGAGUUAGCCGAUCCUUAUUCUUACGGUACCGUCAAUCUGCCUCACGAGGCAGGGUUUCUUCCCGUACAAAAGCAGUUUACACACCAUAGAUGCUUCAUCCUGCACGCGGCAUGGCUGGUUCAGGCUUGCGCCCAUUGACCAAUAUUCCUCACUGCUGCCUCCCGUAGGAGUCUGGUCCGUGUCUCAGUACCAGUGUGGGGGAUCUCCCUCUCAGGACCCCUACCAUCAUUGCCUUGGUGUGCCGUUACCACACCAACUAGCUAAUGGGACGCAUGCUCAUCUUACACCGUUGGAACUUUAAUACAUCUGGAAUGCCCCAGACAUAUACUAUAAGGUAUUAAUCCCAAAUUUCUCUGGGCUAUCCCUUAGUGUAAGGUCAGAUUGCAUACGCGUUACGCACCCGUGCGCCGGUCUCAAAGUCCGAAAACUUCUACCCCUCGACUUGCAUGUGUUAGGCCUGCCGCUAGCGUUCAUCCUGAGCCAGG
rnacentral:rRNA from 1 species